rnacentral:lncRNA from 1 species
GGGAAGGAAAAAAAACAUACACAGCUGUGGACCACUUCUAAACACCCCUGUCUACGAUGUGAUUGGAUGAUGCAUAAACAUGGCUUUCUACAGCAAUGAUGCUGCUGUUCUUCUAAUGAAGCAAGUCUGUGGAAACUGGCUGCAAUCCUCAGCCAAUGAAGCAACUAGGACUUGGAACUGGAAAGAGGGGCACAACACUGAGGGGCAGAAUAAGCAGAAAGUAAGAGAACUGUCUGGACUGCAAAGAUACUAUAUUUUUAGAAAAACGAGAGGGGGACAAUUCUGGAAACAACAAAGAAGUGAUUAGAACUCUAAAACAGAAUUUAAAAAUCAAAGAGGCAGCCUAAAGAAAAGAAUAAAGCAACUUGUAACCUUCACCCCGACUCUGUUAACAUAAGGGACCUGAUGAAGGUUUUAUAUCAGUUCUGCCAGUCUACAAAAGCAGCUAAUUAUUGCAUGAGCUUCAGAGCCAACUGAAAUAACUCCACAGGACGGUUAUAAAAUCCUAUGAUUAUUGGUGUCACAGACACCAGUACCACAUAUGCAAGUGGGACAUAGAAAAUGCCUUGACCGAUUCUGUGGUUCCAGAAUUGUCUGAUGAUGUCAUAGCCUGAGAACCUCUCCAG